rnacentral:lncRNA from 1 species
UUUCCCAAAUUAUGCCUUCCUUUCAUUUUUCCAACUUCUGCCUUUAUCUUAGGUGAAAGAUUCAUCGGACUAAGAUUUUUAUCUUAGGUGAAAAAUUCAACAGACUAAGAUUUCUUUAUCUUAGGUGAAAAAUUCAACAGACUAAGAUUUCUUUAUCUUAGGUGAAAAAUUCAUCAGACUAAGAUUUCUUUUAACCAUUUUCCUUCAAAAUUUGUUUUAUCUACCCACUAACUUGAAUUAUCUUCUUU